AACCAGCUUCAUUGUGGUUCAACUUCCCAGGCUGCUAGUCGUCCAUAUCAACCAACUGGUGGGAAUACUUAUUCAGCAAGAACUGAGGUUGGCAGUCUAGGGGCAUCACAUGUUCUAGCAUCAAACACUCAGCUGCCAACAGGCUCCACUUCUGGACAAUUUCUGGCUGAAGAUGGGUCUGAAUCAAAUCCAUUUACAAUUGAGUUGAGUCGAUUACAAAAGCUGCAUGAUCUGAUAGCAAAGAGACAUCAAGAGAAGCGAGAACAACUUAUUUUGGCACGUCAAGUAGAGAUAGCUCAAGCUAAAAAGAAGUAUGAAGAGCUGUUGUAUAAUUCAGAUGUGGAAGUAUUACAGCGAAGGAGAGAACUUAAGAUAACGAGUGAGAAAAUUUACAAACAGCAGAUACUGGCUGAGGUAUUACAGGUUAUAUAUAAGGCCUCUGCUAAAGUUGUUCCAGACAGUACAAGAGGUGCAGCCCAGAAAACAACAAGAGAGCCUAAC